rnacentral:rRNA from 1 species
UACGGGGGGGGUAAGCGUUGUUCGGAAUUACUGGGCGUAAAGGGCGCGCAGGCGGUCCUUCAAGUCAGAUGUGAAAGCCCCGGGCUCAACCUGGGAACUGCAUUUGAGACUGGAGGACUUGAGUUCGGGAGAGGAUGGUGGAAUUCCCAGUGUAGAGGUGAAAUUCGUAGAUAUUGGGAAGAACACCGGUGGCGAAGGCGGCCAGUCUGGACCGAUACGUGACGCUGGAGGCGACGAAAGCGGUGGG